UUUCUGGUUGAUCCUGCCAGAGGUCACUGCUAUCGGUGUUCGACUAAGCCAUGCGAGUCAAAUGUUCUUCGUGAACAUGGCGUACUGCUCAGUAACACGUGGAUAAUCUGCCCUUAGGUCUGGCAUAACCCCGGGAAACUGGGGAUAAUUCCGGAUAGAUCAUAGAUGCUGGAAUGCACUGUGAUCCAAAGCUUUUGUGCCUAAGGAUGAGUCUGCGGUCUAUCAGGUUGUAGUGGGUGUAACGUACCUACUAGCCUACGACGGAUACGGGUUGUGGGAGCAAGAGCCCGGAGAUGGAUUCUGAGACAUGAAUCCAGGCCCUACGGGGCGCAGCAGGCGCGAAAACUUUACAAUGCAGGAAACUGCGAUAAGGGGACACCGAGUGCCAGCAUCCUAUGUUGGCUGUCCGCAUGUUUAAAUCACAUGUGUUAGCAAGGGCCGGGCAAGACCGGUGCCAGCCGCCGCGGUAACACCGGCGGCCCGAGUGGUGGCCACUAUUAUUGGGUCUAAAGGGUCCGUAGCCGGUUUGGUCAGUCUUCCGGGAAAUCUGACGGCUUAACCGUUAGGCUUUCGGGGGAUACUGCCAGGCUUGGGACCGGGAGAGGUAAGAGGUACUACGGGGGUAGGAGUGAAAUCUUGUAAUCCCCGUGGGACCACCAGUGGCGAAGCGUCUUACCAGAACGGAUCCGACGGUGAGGGGCGAAAGCUGGGGGCACGAACCGGAUUAGAUACC
rnacentral:rRNA from 1 species